UCCAGCUGAACAGUGACAGCCGCAUGAUAUUUUACGUGACCUUUAUCUACUUUCACUGAAUCUCACUCCAAUUAAGUGAAGACAGAACCGAUGCUGUCGAUGUCCCUUUGCAGGGAGGCAGGGUGACAGUUCAUUCAUGCACGCACAGCAAUGUUACGGGCGGAAACAGACUAUGAAGCGGCUCUUUAUCAUGGACGUGAGGCUGCAACCCGGAGUGUGCCUGUGCAUUUCCCUGACACUCGUCCAUUAAACGGCUAUGAUAUAGGGUUUGAGGGACCGUCCAUCCCCGGCAGCCACACAGACGGUGGUGAAGCAUCAUCAAUGCCUGAACCCUGAUCUGCGCCUCUGUUUAUUCCCGGAGUGCCUGAUGAGGAAGGAGAAGCAGUGCUUUGUAAUGGUGUGCAGCUCUACGAUCCGGUACCGAUGCGGGGACGGCGUGCUACAUCCGGGCUGCUGAUGAGCGGAGCCGAUCGGAGCACCUGGCCAAAACAUUUUGCCAUGGACACAGAUGAGUCUUAUCAUGGACACGUUUGUCCAUGCAUGAACUGGUUGAUGAUCCCUGGACCUAGGAAAAGUCCAGUAAAGUACCAAUGUAUGUCAAGAAAAUGCUGGAAAAUGCUAAAGCUGGAAAAUGAAGAAACAGGAUUGGAAGAGUACUGACAUCUUUAAAUCUUGGUGUUAGUGAAGACACUUAAACACACCAUGGAGACACAUGCAUCAAAUGCUCAGAUGAGAAAGGUACACUUUUGCAUUGCAUGUGGAACUGCCCAAAAGUGCAGGAGUUUUGGAAGGAGGUGGCUAUAUUUAUUUCUCAAAUGGUGUUUGUAAACCUACCGAUGAAACCUGAAAUUUUUAUUUUGGGAAUUAUUCCUGAGAAUAUUGUCGACCAUGGUAUUAGUAUACUUCAAGCAAAGCGUCUAAUAUCCUUGUACCAAUACAAGUUGGAAAAUAACUAAUAUCCAGUACAAGGAUAUUAGACGCUUUGCUUGAAGUAUACUAAUAUCAACAAGCUUACGAGUGCUUCCAUGGUCGACAAUAUUCUCAGGAAUAAUUCCCAAAAUAAAAAUUUCAGGUUUCAUCGGUAGAAAGCGGAAAAGCCAUCUAUCGUACAAUGGAUCAAUAACAUGUCCUUCUGUUUAGCUAUGGAAAAGAUUACUUAUAUAUUGAAAGGUAAAAUUUCUUCUUUUGAGAAAAUUUGGACACCCUUUAUAUCCUUUAUAUCAAAUUCGAAUUUUGGGAAUGUACUAAGUGAGACAGGAGGAGAUAAGAUAACUUAACACUUGACUUAUCGUAUCCCCUUUUUCAUAAUUCAUAAUUCUAUUUAAGGAAAACAUUGUUAAAUAACGAUUUGUUGUAUACCUUCUAUGCAUGUUUUGUAUUUACUGUACAACUCCACCUUCCUACUGUAUUGCUCUCUGGAAUAACCUGUGUGGCUAUUUAAAUUA